rnacentral:lncRNA from 1 species
CUGGACUUCUGUGUUGUCAUGCCUGAACUUCUUCUUUUUUCUUUCGCUGUAAGAUAAUGCAGCCAGUGCUUUGUAACAGGAACCCUUACUAGAGUUUCUUCUGCAAUUUUUUUUACAGCUAGUGUGUAAGCGUGGAGCUGGACCUACAGGAACAUGCAUCCUCUUUUUCCCUUAGUCUAUGUUUUGGUAUAGUUUUUUGAUCACCCACUUAUCUUUGGUAAGAUCUGGACUUCUCUUUUUUUAUUAAUGGUUGAACUUCUGGUUUUCCAGAUUACGUUCCACAUUUGCAAGGCGAAGGCGCAUGGUGCUCUAUAUUUUAU